rnacentral:pre_miRNA from 1 species
AAUAGAUGAUGCUGUUAACUUUUUCUCACAUGUUUGACCAUUCGUCUUACCAAAAAAAUUAUGUAAUUAUAAUUUAUUUUGUUAUGAGUUGUUUUUAUCACUCAUAGUACUUUAAGUGUGACUUAUAUCUUUUACAUUUGCAUACAAAUUUUGAAUAAGACGAAUGGUCAAACAUGUGAGAAAAAGUCAACGUCGUCAUCUAUU